rnacentral:tRNA from 1 species
CGUUAUGAAGCUACUAUAGCAUUAACCUUUUAAGUUAAAGAUUGAGAAAUAUAUUAUUCUCCAUAACGA